GGUUUCCUUCGCAGGAGAGAUGAUGCCGUCCCCUAUUAUUAUUAUUAUAAUAAGGAUACGGCAUCGUCUCUCCGGCGACGGUAACC
rnacentral:pre_miRNA from 1 species